rnacentral:rRNA from 1 species
UACGGAGGGUGCAAGCGUUAUCCGGAUUCACUGGGUUUAAAGGGUGCGUAGGCGGGUUGGUAAGGCCGUGGGGAAAUCUCCGAGCUUAACUCGGAAACUGCCGUGGAUACUAUCAAUCUUGAAUAUCGUGGAGGUAAGCGGAAUAUGUCAUGUAGCGGUGAAAUGCUUAGAUAUGACAUAGAACACCAAUUGCGUAGGCAGCUUACUACACGAUCAUUGACGCUGAGGCACGAAAGCGUGGGGAGCAAACAGG